rnacentral:rRNA from 1 species
UUGAACGCUGGCGGCAUGCCUUACACAUGCAAGUCGAACGGCAGCGCGGACUUCGGUCUGGCGGCGAGUGGCGAACGGGUGAGUAAUACAUCGGAACGUACCCUGUUGUUGGGGAUAACUAGUCGAAAGAUUAGCUAAUACCGCAUACGACCUGAGGGUGAAAGUGGGGGACCGGAAACGGCCUCAUGCAGCAGGAGCGGCCGAUGUCUGAUUAGCUAGUUGGUGGGGUAAAGGCCCACCAAGGCGACGAUCAGUAGCUGGUCUGAGAGGACGAUCAGCCACACUGGGACUGAGACACGGCCCAGACUCCUACGGGAGGCAGCAGUGGGGAAUUUUGGACAAUGGGGGCAACCCUGAUCCAGCAAUGCCGCGUGUGUGAAGAAGGCCUUCGGGUUGUAAAGCACUUUUGUCCGGAAAGAAAUCGCGCUGGUUAAUACCUGGCGUGGAUGACGGUACCGGAAGAAUAAGCACCGGCUAACUACGUG